rnacentral:rRNA from 1 species
AUAUUGGACAAUGGUCGAAAGCCUGAUCCAGCCAUGCCGCGUGUGUGAAGAAGGUCUUCGGAUUGUAAAGCAACUUAAGUUGGGCGGAAGGGUGGUAGUUUAAUACUCUGCAGUUUGGACGUUACCUACAGAAUAAGCACCGGCUAACUACUUCACAGCAGCCGCGGUAAUACGAAGGGUGCAAGCGUUAAUCGGAAUUACUGGGCGUAAACCGCGCGUAGGUGGUUCGUUAAGUUGGAUGUGAAAGCCCCGGGCUCAACCUGGGAACUGCAUCCAAAACUGGCGAGCUAGAGUACGGUAGAGGGUGGUGGAAUUUCCUGUGUAGCGGUGAAAUGCGUAGAUAUAGGAAGGAACACCAGUGGCGAAGGCGACCACCUGGAAUGAUACUGACACUGAGGUGCGAAAGCGUGGGGAGCAAACAGG